CUUAUCUCACUCAUAUUCAAUUUAACUUGGACUGUGAUUAACGCUCCUCCAAUGAAGGGAGAAAGACACAAAGGAUAUUUUCCUCACCCUCUCUCUCUCAUCCACAGGGCUCCUUCAGCUAUUCAGCUGUCCUCCAUUUUUAAUGACUUCUUUAUCUCUGGACUGAGGAGGAGAUUUGUUUGUGCUUUCAUGUAUGUUCUGUCAAGUAAAGUGGAGGCCCAGUACGGCAUCGGAUUAGAGAGAAAGAGACAGAGAGAAAGGAAGGGCCCUGACAGUGACUGUCAGGGCCUGCAGCCUGACACGGGAGUGAUCAUCUGGAAGAGAGGCAGAGAGGAAGAAACCAGCAUUGAAUUAAUCAUAUUAACGAGGGCAUCAGGAGAAGAAAAGGGGGAGAGGGACGGAGAGACAGACAGUAAAACACAUGAACACUGAGAAAAUGUGGUGAGGGACGACUGCAAGAAUGACCAGACAUAGCAGUAUACUGUGGCACAAUUACAAGUGGAGCUGAUGAGAUGCAACAUGGCUGAUGAAUGUGACUGCGUGCGACAAACACAAUGACGCCCACUGUCAGUUUAAAACCUUGAUGAUUUGGACUGAAUGAAAGUAUCCAAAAAAGUUAGAAUUAAAAUUGUAUUUUUGGAAGUUAUUGACCUUAGAAUCUUGCUUAAUGGUUAGUAAUGUCAAUAUGUGUGCAUAAUGCAAAUGCAUUAUAAUAAACCACAACAUUUACUUUGA